CGCGAACAUCAGCACAAUAUAAAAUGGUUCACGGCCUGGGGAAGACAUUCUCGGACCGCAUCCUCAGCAACACUGGGAAGUUACCAUUCUCUGUCAAUCUUGAUGAGGCCACCUGAAGGAGUGAUAAAAAGCCAGAAAACCUGCCACCAAUCCCCAGGAUCCUAGCAGGUCUCGAACUCAAGGGAGACAAACUGCUGCCUGCAAGAGACCUGUAUGUGUGUCGAGUGGCAGAUAGAUUCAGACGGGAGCAUCCUCAACACCAUCUGCUGAAGCCCUUCCUGGACCAAGGCAUACAUCACAUGUGGGGAAUACCUGCAGAGCAAGCUGCCACAGGAGAGCAUGACCCUGCAGUGCCUGUCUGCUGUUGACCCUAUUGCAAGGGGGCACUCCAAGACUGGACGUCUGCUGAGACGACUUGCGGAGAUGUUUACCCAGUUUCUCCCUGCUGAUGGGGAUGUUCAGCAAGAGGUUCUCCAGUAUGGCGUAGACCAGAGCCUGCAAACUUUCAGAGAAGGAGAUGAUGCUGUCAGCUGGAAGGCGAGGCAGCCAUGGUGAUUGAUGGGUGUGAUGUGUCAGAAGAGCUCUGGGUAAGGCCGAUGCACGCGGCCCCCCGUGUACACCCACAUGCACACCCACGUGCACAACCACACGCAGGCCAACACCUGCUCCAGGCUUAGACUCAGCCCUGGAAAAUACUUACCGUAACUGUUUCAGCAGGGCCACGUCAUGGUUGGCUGCAGACUGAUCUAUCUAACUGUGAGAAGGUGAAAUCCUCCCCCUUCUCACUGUCUCGCAUUAGAGCUUUUAUUAUUAUUAUUAUUAUUAUAUUGUGUGUGUGUAUUAGAUUGGGCUGGUGGAAGUUAGUCUUCCGUCCCGGUAGGGGGCAGUAUAGUAACGUUAGCUUUAGGUAAAUGUUCCCCCAGCUAAUGGUCUGGCCCAUAUGGCCGUGAUUGGUCCAAUUACCAUUUCCCUAUUUAAGGGCCUUUUCAUUUGGUGUUUGGGGCUGAAGGUGGUGCUGGCUUGGAGUGAGGCCAGUACGAGAAACGUAUGUUAUGUUGCCCGUAUCCCAGACACGUGGGGCGACCACGCCGGUCCCUCACAUUUGGUGGCAGUGGUGGGAUCUUUUUUUUCGACGCUUCUGAGGAACUGGAGAGACGAGGGGGAAGACGAGGACUCGGUGGACAGCGAGGACGAGGCCGAAUCUGGCGACGAAUGGAGCAGACACUGUCCCGCGGUGUUCUACUGCAGAUCGAGGAGGAAGACGGCCAUGGAGAGGACCAGGCAUCCAGCGGAGGCCCGCCUGAGGAGUCGGACCUUGCCGCAGUGCGUAGGCUCUUCGAGCGGGAGGCGUCCAAGCAGGAGCAGCGCUGGAGGAGUGUCCAGAUGCAGCUGAACCAGCUCAGGGAGGACGUUGAGGCUGAUCGGAGGCCUUCGUCUGCACCAGAUCCAGCACCAGCUCCGGCAUUGGCACAUGCACCAGCACCUGCACCAGCAACUGCGCCUGUGACCUGGCCCAGGGCGGCCAUUCCCAGGCUGGAAGAGGAUGACGACAUUUGAGCAGUACCUCAGGACAUUUGUGAGGUUAGCAAUGGCUUUGGCUGGCCAAGAGAGGAUUGGGCCGUCUUUAUAGUACCCUACCUCGCCGGCAAAGCACGCAGCGCCUAUGUGGCGAUGAACAUGGGUCAUGCCACUGAUCCCCUUGGUAAAGCGGCCUUUCUGUGAUUGUGUAACAGAGGCUGCUAAGGGGGAGACAGGGGGCGUGACCCCUUCGUUGUGGAUCACCGCGCCUCACAGUGGCUGGGUAGCAUGAAGGACUCGAAUGCUCGCAUCACCCGCUGGUUCUUGGCACUGCAACCAUUGCGUUUCAGGGUGCAGUACCGAGCGGGAAGGCAGAAUACUGAGGCAGACUUUUUGUCUCGCCAUCCUGUUGGUGAAACUCCAGAGGUGGUGGGAAAUGUGAGAAGGUGAAAUCCUCCACCUUCUCACUGUCUCGCAUUAGAGCUUUUAUUAUUAUUAUUAUUAUUAUUAUAUUGUGUGUGUGUAUUAGAUUGGGCUGGUGGAAGUUAGUCUUCCGUCCCGGUAGGGGGCAGUAUAGUAACGUUAGCUUUAGGUAAAUGUUCCCCCAGCUAAUGGUCUGGCCCAUAUGGCCGUGAUUGGUCCAAUUACCAUUUCCCUAUUUAAGGGCCUUUUCAUUUGGUGUUUGGGGCUGAAGGUGGUGCUGGCUUGGAGUGAGGCCAGUACGAGAAACGUAUGUUAUGGUAUGCUGUUUUAUGUUAUCUUAGUUUUGGUUUUCUGACUGAUGCAGUCAUUUCCUUUUCAUUUUUGAACGUUGCUCUGUUUUUGUGAAUGUUUGGAGAGAUUAAAACUUCACUUUUCUUAGUCGUCAGUCCAUUGCCCUCAUUUUUGCCCACACUCGCGAUACCCAGUUGCGCGUUUCCCAGAUACGUGGGGCGACCACGCCGGUCCCUCACACUAACUAAAUACAACUAACACUCAUGCACGUUCUCUCACUCUCUCACUCACUCACUCACUCACCCAUCUCUCAAUCACUGAACGGUGUGUUUGAAGAUGUUCACUCCCUGGCCUCACCCCCAGAGGCGUUGUGUUUUGAAGGUGGGGUCUGGUGUUUCUUUGCAUGUCCUGGUUCGGUUUGUGGGCCGGCGUUAGUAUUCCGGUGCGCUGGGAUCAAGGUCUAUCUAUAAAGUAGAGCUGCUGUAAUGAGAGCCAUCAUUAAAGCAACAGGAAAUGGUCAUUUUCCUUCCAUCAGCCUAGUUUGGAGAAAGAGCUUCAGAGUCAUUACAGUUACUACUGGGAUUCUGUCCUCCUUUCGAGAUUCAUGGUGUUUGUGUGUGUAUGUGUGUGUUUUUGUCGUGUGUGUGCGCGUCAUUUGCAUGCUCUCCUCUUCUUCCCCAUCACCUGCGCCCGUCUCUCGGUAGGAGCCCACCUUCUCCUCCACGGUCUCGCUUGCUUCUGAGCUCCCGCUCUACACCUACCCCGCCAGCGAGCCCAGCAGCCAGAGUCGUGACACCCUUGUGCACAAGUUGCAUGACAAGCAGCUGCAGGUUUUCACCAACUUCCUUGCAUGCUUUGUGAAGCCAGAAAACCUGCCACCAAUCCCCAGGAUCCUAGCAGGUCUCGAACUCAAGGGAGACAAACUGCUGCCUGCAAGAGACCUGUAUGUGUGUCGAGUGGCAGAUAGAUUCAGACGGGAGCAUCCUCAACACCAUCUGCUGAAGCCCUUCCUGGACCAAGGCAUACAUCACAUGUGGGGAAUACCUGCAGAGCAAGCUGCCACAGGAGAGCGUGACCCUGCAGUGCCCGUCUGCUGUUGACCCUAUUGCAAGGGGGCACUCCAAGACUGGACGUCUGCUGAGACGACUUGCGGAGAUGUUUACCCAGUUUCUCCCUGCUGAUGGGGAUGUUCAGCAAGAGGUUCUCCAGUAUGGCGUAGACCAGAGCCUGCAAACUUUCAGAGAAGGAGAUGAUGCUGUCAGCUGGUGGGCAGCUGUCUUUGAAACGGGAAGGUACCCAGGGCUCAGCAUGGCAGUAAAGGCAGUAUUGUCGGUGUUCCAUGGGCCAACGGUGGAGUCCUCAUUCAGUCUUAUGUCUGAAAUCAUAGACUCGAAAAGUGGCAGCAUGAACAUUUCCACUCUGAGUGCCAUGCAAACUGUCGAACACACCUUGCUGACCCGGAAGCAGACUGCAGUGGAGAUGUUCAAAAGAGAAGACCUUAAGUUAAUAAAGAGUUUGCAGGUCUGCAGAAGGGCCCCCGUGUACACCCGGAAAUUGUUGACAUAGCCUGUCUUGCUCUCCGCCAUCACCCACACCUUUACUCCCCACUUCACCGGCUUCAUGGGGAGGUACUGCCGGAAGGCCAGGCAUCCCUUGAACUUGACCAUGGACUCAUCCACGGUCACAAAGCCAUUGACCUCAUAGAGAUCCUGGAAUCUGACGAGGAGGUCCAUGAAUCCCUUAAGCUUCAAGGGAUCCCGCAUUUCCAUUACCUUGUACACGUCCCGCAAAUUGAGACGUUGUCCCGCAUUGUUAUUAGGGCUGGCCCGAAUUAUUCGAAUAUUCAAAUACUCGUUGGGAAAAUUAGUAUUCAAAGCUUAAAUGAGUAUUCGGGAGCUUCGUUGUUUCACGUAGGGCCUACGUGACGUUACCAGAGCGAGGGAGGCAAACUAUAAGCGACACUAAGCAGAGAAGCGAGAGAGGUGGAGGAAGAAUAGAUAUCUUGUUUCCCUUUACUUUAUAACAACAUUAGCGGGAUCUCGGGAGGAAAAUACAUGCUUAGUGAAAUGCUAACCUAAGCUUAGUUGUUUGUUUACGUUCGCCGUACAGCGCCGCGCAAAUCAACUGUGACUGGCUUGCUGCAGAGUGUGAGCGUCUUGCAAAUACCCGGUCAAUAUAAUGGAUAUAAUAUGGACACAUAAGACAAUCAAUAUUCGUUAUUUGCUAUGGAAUUAUUGUACAAAUUCCCUGAAAAGAUGCACGUUCCAGAAUGAAUUGAAAAGCUCCCCCUAAGGGCUGAGAUGGCAGAGGACAGCUGAUUUUGUACGGAACAACAGCUGUUCGCUUCCACGGGGAAAAACUAAGUAAAUCCAACUUACUUAGGCCUACUAAUUGAUGUUCAAAAGCUAUUAAAUCUUCAACAAAAUAUGCAGAUGCUGUCAAAAUUGGUUCCAGGGAGUAUAUAGUGAUUAUUAAUGUUGUUUUUGAUGGUGUGUUUUUCUGGAAUGAGUAUUCGAAUUUUCGCUCGGAAAAACCAACGAGUAAUCGAAGCCAAAAA
ensembl:lncRNA